rnacentral:tRNA from 1 species
UUAAUUGAAACCAAAAAAGCGGUAAAUCACUGUUAAUGAUUAAAAUGAGAAAUUAUCUCCAAUUAAA